UACGUAGAGGGCAAGCGUUGUCCGGAAUCAUUGGGCGUAAAGCGCGUGUAGGCGGCUUGACAAGUCUGCUGUGAAAGUCCAGGGCUCAACCCUGGAAUGCCGGUGGAAACUAUCAAGCUAGAGUCCGGAAGAGGCGAGUGGAAUUCCUGGUGUAGCGGUGAAAUGCGCAGAUAUCAGGAGGAACACCGGUGGCGAAGGCGGGUCUCUGGGCCGUAACUGACGCUGAGGAGCGAAAGCGUGGGGAGCGAACAGG
rnacentral:rRNA from 1 species